rnacentral:rRNA from 1 species
AUUGAACGCUGGCGGCAUGCCUUACACAUGCAAGUCGAACGGCAGCGCGGACUUCGGUCUGGCGGCGAGUGGCGAACGGGUGAGUAAUGUAUCGGAACGUACCAUUCAGUGGGGGAUAACGCAGCGAAAGUUGCGCUAAUACCGCAUAUUCUGUGCGCAGGAAAGCAGGGGAUCGCAAGACCUUGCGCUGAUUGAGCGGCCGAUAUCAGAUUAGCUAGUUGGUGAGGUAAAGGCUCACCAAGGCGACGAUCUGUAGCGGGUCUGAGAGGAUGAUCCGCCACACUGGAACUGAGACACGGUCCAGACUCCUACGGGAGGCAGCAGUGGGGAAUUUUGGACAAUGGGCGCAAGCCUGAUCCAGCCAUGCCGCGUGAGUGAAGAAGGC